UGAAUACGAGAUGCUACGGCGUCGAAGCAGUCUAUGUCAUACUUCCAAGAAAAGCUCGCACUGUCUUAAACAAAUAAUGCCUGUACCAUAACCGACACAGGUGGGUAGGUAGAGUAUACUAAGGGGCGCGAGAUAACUCUCUCUAAGGAACUCGGCAAAUGACUCCGUAACUUCGGGAGAAGGAGUGCCUUAUUUAUAAGGUUGCAAUAACAAGAUCCAAGCAACUGUUUAUCAAAAACACAGGUCUCCGCUAAGUCGUAAGACGAUGUAUGGGGGCUGACGCCUGCCCAGUGCCAGAAGGUUAAAGAAGUUGGUUAGCAUUCGCGAAGCUGAUAACUGAAGCCCUGGUGAACGGCGGCCGUAACAAUAACGGUCCUAAGGUAGCGAAAUUCCUUGUCGGGUAAGUUCCGACCCGCACGAAAGGCGUAAUGAUUUGGAUACUGUCUCGGAGAGGGGCUCGGUGAAAUAGACUUGUCUGUGAAGAUGCGGACUACCUGCACCAGGACAGAAAGACCCUAUGAAGCUUUACUGUAACUUGAGAUUGAAAUUGGACUUUACUUGCGCAGUAUAGGUGGGAGGCGUUGAUAAUAUUCUUGCGGGAUUAUUUGAGCCAUCAGUGAGAUACCACUCUUGUAAUGUUAGAUUUCUAACUUUGUAUCAUUAUCUGGUCAAAGGACAGUUUCAGGCGGGCAGUUUGACUGGGGCGGUCGCCUCCUAAACGGUAACGGAGGCGCACAAAGGUUUCCUCUGAACGGGUAGAAAUCGUAUCUAGAGUGUAAAGGCAUAAGGAAGCUUGACUGUGAGACCUACAGGUCGAGCAGGGACGAAAGUCGGUCUUAGUGAUCUGACGGUGCUGAGUGGAAAGGCCGUCACUCAACGGAUAAAAGUUACUCUAGGAUAACAGGCUGAUCUCCCCCAAGAGUUCACAUCGACGGGGAGGUUUGGCACCUCGAUGUCGGCUCAUCGCAUCCUGGGGCGGUAGUACGUCCCAAGGGUUGGGCUGUUCGCCCAUGAAAGCGGUACGCGAGCUGGGUUCAGAACGUCGUGAGACAGUUCGGUCCAUAUCCGGUGUAGGCGUUAGAAUAUUGAGAGGAGCCUUCUUUAGUACGAGAGGAUCGAGAAGGACAUACCUCUGGUGUACCAGUUAUCGUGCCAAUGGUAAACGCUGGGUAGCUAUGUAUGGAGUGGAUAACCGCUGAAAGCAUCUAAGUGGGAAGCCCACCUCAAGAUAAG
rnacentral:rRNA from 1 species